rnacentral:rRNA from 1 species
CUGACUGCUAUCGGAUUGAUACUAAGCCAUGCGAGUCAUUGUAGUAAUACAAGGCAGACGGCUCAGUAACGCGUAGUCAACCUAACCUAUGGACGGGAAUAACCUCGGGAACCUGAGUAUAAUGCCCGAUAGAACAUUAUGCCUGGAAUGGUUUAUGUUCCAAAUGAUUUAUCGCCGUAGGAUGGGACUGCGGCCUAUCAGUUUGUUGGUGAGGUAAUGGCCCACCAAGACUAUUACAGGUACGGGCUCUGAGAGGAGUAGCCCGGAGAUGGGUACUGAGACACGGACCCAGGCCCUAUGGGGCGCAGCAGGCGAGAAAACUUUGCAAUGUGCGAAAGCACGACAAGGUUAAUCCGAGUGGUUUCUGCUAGAGGAACCUUUUGACAGUCCUAGAAACACUGUUGAAUAAGGGGUGGGCAAGUUCUGGUGUCAGCCGCCGCGGUAAAACCAGCACCUCAAGUGGUCAGGAUGAUUAUUGGGCCUAAAGCAUCCGUAGCCGGCUCUGUAAGUUUUCGGUUAAAUCUGUACGCUCAACGUACAGGCUGCCGGGAAUACUGCAGAGCUAGGGAGUGGGAGAGGUAGACGGUACUCGGUAGGAAGGGGUAAAAUCCUUUGAUCUAUUGAUGACCACCUGUGGCGAAGGCGGUCUACCAGAACACGUCCGACGGUGAGGGAUGAAAGCUGGGGGAGCAAACCGGAUUAGAUACCCGGGUAGUCCCAGCUGUAAACCAUGCAAACUCAGUGAUGCAUUGGCCUUGUGGCCAAUGCAGUGCUGCAGGGAAGCCGUUAAGUUUGCCGCCUGGGAAGUACGUACGCAGGUUUGAAACUUAAAGGAAUUGGCGGGGG